rnacentral:pre_miRNA from 1 species
AUUCUACUCCCUCCAUUGCACAAUACAUGCCUUCUAUUUGUCAAAAUAUAUAUGUAUCUAGACAUGUUUUACUAUAUAGGUACAUCCAUUUUUGGACAAAUGGAAGUCAAGUAUUUUGGAACGGAGAGGGAGUACACA